GGAGCGAAAGGGUGGGGAGCAAACAGGCUUAGAUACCCUGGUAGUCCACCCCGUAAACGUUGGGAACUAGUUGUGGGGGCCUUUCCACGGUCUCCGUGACGCAGCUAACGCAUUAAGUUCCCCGCCUGGGGAGUACGGCCGCAAGGCUAAAACUCAAAGGAAUUGACGGGGACCCGCACAAGCGGCGGAGCAUGCGGAUUAAUUCGAUGCAACGCGAAGAACCUUACCAAGGCUUGACAUAUAGAGGAAAGUUCUGGAAACAGUUCCCCCGCAAGGUCUCUAUACAGGUGGUGCAUGGUUGUCGUCAGCUCGUGUCGUGAGAUGUUGGGUUAAGUCCCGCAACGAGCGCAACCCUCGUUCUAUGUUGCCAGCACGUAAUGGUGGGAACUCAUGGGAUACUGCCGGGGUCAACUCGGAGGAAGGUGGGGAUGACGUCAAAUCAUCAUGCCCCUUAUGUCUUGGGCUUCACGCAUGCUACAAUGGCCGGUACAAAGGGCUGCAAUACCGUGAGGUGGAGCGAAUCCCAAAAAGCCGGUCCCAGUUCGGAUUGAGGUCUGCAACUCGACCUCAUGAAGUCGGAGUCGCUAGUAAUCGCAGAUCAGCAACGCUGCGGUGAAUACGUUCCCGGGUCUUGUACACAC
rnacentral:rRNA from 1 species